rnacentral:sRNA from 1 species
GUGAAUUAUCAGAAAGCUAAAUUUGAGAUGAAAGCGAGGAGUGUACGGAAAAAAAUUUCAGCUUAUCAACUCAUCGAGGAGUUGCAAAGCCGGCAAAGUGAAGCUGUGCAAGACAAAACUCUGACAACUUCAAAACUUGACUUUGAGUCGCUGAGACCUCUGAUGUUAACAGCCGUACAUCAAAAAACUUUGGACCUGAACAUCCAGAAGUCAGAGAAACGAAUGGAGAAGUUUAAGGAGCAAA